GGCGGCGCGCCUAACACAUGCAAGUCGAACGGAACUCUAUUCUGGAAAUUUUCGGAUGGAAGGGACAGAGUUUAGUGGCGGACGGGUGAGUAACACGUGAGCAACCUGCCUAUCAGAGGGGAUAACGAUUUGGAAACGAUCGCUAAUACCGCAUAACACAGCGAGAGGACAUCCUUUUUGCUGUCAAAGAUUUAUCGCUGAUAGAUGGGCUCGCGGCCGAUUAGAUAGUUUGGUGAGGUAAAUGGCUCACCAAGUCGACGAUCGGUAGCCGGACUGAGAGGUCGAACGGCCACAUUGGGACUGAGACACGGCCCAGACUCCUACGGGAGGCAGCAGUGGGGGAUAUUGCACAAAAUGGGGGAAACCCUGAUGCAGCGACGCCGCGUGUAGGAAGACGGUCCUAUGGAUUGUAAACUACUGUCUUCGGGGACGAAAAAGACGGUACCCGAGGAGGAAGCCACGGCUAACUACGUGCCAGCCGCCGC
rnacentral:rRNA from 1 species